AUAUCUUUCAGUUGUUCCACACUGCGAAUUAGAGUACAAGAAUUAUAUGAAAAUUUUCAGGAUUAACACCAACAAUGGAGAAGUCUCAUACAUGGGUUUUCAUUAACCUGGAUAUCCUAGUCCAUACAUGUAAAGCACUAUAGCAAAGGCAUAGGAGGAUUAUUGGAGUGAUUGCACUUGAAAUUAACUAUCACUCACUGCUUGUAGUCCAAGAACAAGAAGUAAGAGUUUCUCAGACUUGUGUUUAGCUACACUUGGAGAAGACUCUUGCAUUAACAGUUAAAAAGUGGGAUUUUGCACCAAAGGAAUAUCACUUUAUCAUUGAAGUCUAAAAAACAAUAGAAAGCCCUUGUGUAUUAGUUUAAGUUACAAGAGAAUAACUCGGUAACAAGAACAUGCAUUUGACUACUAUUGGGUUUACGCAAUCCGGAUGUAUUGAAAUUUGAGUUUCUUAGAUCUGACGUUACCAAAGCAAAAACUAGAAUGAGAUAUCAUUUCAAAGGCAAACUGAAGUUAGAAUGGAAGCAAUAUCAUCCUAUUUCCUUCAAUAAAUAAGUCUCAGCUCAACCCAAUAGAGUUUGACCCCUUGCCAGAUGAAAUCCCAACAUAGAGGGUAUAAAGAAAAUAAAAACUAAAAACAAAGGACCAGACUGCCAUAGUAUGGUAUAUCACCCAUUUUUUUGUCACUUAAAGAUACAGCAGGGAGAAAACAAGGAAGAAAAAAAGGAAUAAAUAUUUUGUGAAAGGUUAUAAAAUCAAUACCAAAAACUAUUGCUAUGACUCAUGGUUAAAAAACAAAAACUAUGUGCAGGGCUUGAAAAUCAAUACCAACCAUGAUUGAUAUGACAAAAAAAAAAUGGAAGUGAAAUUGUGAAAACUAACCUGAUUUCUCCUGUGAAUGCCCCA
rnacentral:misc_RNA from 1 species